AUUCACUUUACUCUCUGUUGGAAGAUCAAUGACUAUCCCUCGUAAUUUCAUUUGGAUACCUAUUUGGAAGUUCAUUUGACUCCAAUGGGUCACCUGUACAGCAAGAGCAAGAACAAGAUCAACUGACUGUCUAUUGAAGGUUCAUUUGUUUACAUUCUGGGAUGAUCAUUUGACUGUCUUUCGAAAGGUCAAUUAACUGUCUGUUGGAAAUUCAAUUGACAAUCUUUCAGAAGGUCAACUGCGUAUCUGUCGGACGUUGAUUCAAUAACCUUAUUAGGAAGCUCAAUUGAAUGUCUCGUAGAAGGUGAAUUAACUGUCUGUCGGAAGGUUGAUGAGUCCUUGUCGGUAAUGAGCGAGUUGACGUUUGACACAGUCCUGUACGCGCCAUUUCAUACUCCAUAGCAUAUUCUUUUAUGUACGAACACUUGUCCAUUCUUAAGCUUAGGAAACGCAGCUACUCAGUGACGUGUGUCCUUAAUCGCUAGUUAUUUAUUAUUAUUAUUAUUGUCAUUAUUAUUAUUAUUAUUAUUAUUAUUAUUAUUAUUGAUGUGUUGGUAUAUGACUUUAACCUUUCCUCCUCUCUCCUUGUUUCCUCCUUUCUUUAGCCCACUUAAAUAUUUACUCAUUCAAUUUUUCCUUGUAGUUUUCCUUGUAGUUUUCCGCUUUCCUUUCCGUUGCUCCACAUAUAUCUCUUUUUUUUCCUUCUUCAUCUCUUCUUAAUCAUCGUCUCUUUUCCUAUCUUCUCUUCUAUCUUCUUUUAUCUUUUCUUAGCUUUAUUUCCUGGUUAUCCUUCUCUUCCUCCUCCUUUCUCUUUCUCCACUCCUUUCUUCCUUCUAUCUUCUUUUAUCUCUUCUUUGAUUUCUUUCUCUUCCUUCUUCUUCCACCUCCUUUCUUUCCUUCCAUUCUCUUUCUCCAUUCUUCCUUCUAUCUUCUUUUAUCUCUUCUUUGAUUUCUUUCUCUUCCUUCUUCUUCCUCUUCCUUUCUUUUCUUCCAUUCUCGUUUUCCACUUUCCUUCACUUCUUUCUUAGCCUCCCUGACCUAUCCUCUUUUUCCAUCAUCUCCUUUUUUCCCUGUCUUUUCUCCUACCUUCCUUUCUUCCUUUAUUCUCCCUUCUCUUCCUUCUUCCUUCUUUCCUUCCAUUCUCUUCUUGGGACUUUGCUUUUCUUCAUUUUCCUCUUUUUUUCCUUUUUUCCUUCUGUCCUCUUAAAUUUAUUCCUUUCUUUCUCUUCUUUUCUCUUUCUUCCCUAUCCUUCCUCUCUUCCUUCUUUACUUUCAUUUUCUUUCUCUCAAUACUUGUCUUUUCUUCCUUCCUUCCUUCCUUACCUUCUCUGCCCUAUCCGCUGUUUGCUUAUUCCAUCAUUUAUCCAUCAAUUCAGUGUGCUUCCUCUCCCUCCCCCAUUCCAUUCCUUCAUUCCAAGCAUUCCUUUUAUUCAAUUCUCCAUUCCUUCCCUCUUCUUCCCCUUCCUAUCCAUUCCUGUCCUUAUUCCAAUUCUUUCCUUCUUUAUUUUCUUUCCCUUCCUUCCUUCCUCCCACCUGUCUUUCCAUUCAUUUCCAUUCUUUUUUCUUUCCCUUUUAUUCCAUUUCCUCCUUUCUUUCCCUUCUGCCUUCCAUCUGUUCAUUCUUCCACCCCUUCUUCCCUCUCUCCCUUCCCUCCCUCCCUCCCUUCCUCCCAUCCUUCCCUCCCUCUCUUCCUCCCUUCCUUCCCUCCCUCUCUCCUUCCUUCCCUCAAAUCGCUGUAAUAUUAACGAGACGUGCCUGUAGAACUGUAUUAUAAUGAUGUUAAUUAUUAUUAUAUAACAUUAUUACUCAAUUCUUAAUAAUGAAAAAAUAAUUAAGCAACAAGAUUGACUACCAUAUCCUAUUACCCUUCCCAAUUACCCACCUAUUUGCCUGCCUUCCUAUGUACCUAUCCCUUGUACUAGUGUGUGUGUGUGUGUGUGUGAGAGAGAGAGAGAGAGAGAGAGAGAGAGAGAGAGAGAGAGAGAGAUUCCGUGCUCAAAAAAUGCAGAACGGAAUGAGAAAAGCUGAUUAAGUUAAUUCUAAGACAAAAGAAAAGGUAGAAAAAAACAUUAUUUGAAUCUACUAGACUUAAUGAUAUUUAAACUUCUGUCACUACUACUACUACUACUAUUUCUACUACUAUCUGAACAUUCAAAAUAAUAAUACUAAUAAAUAUGAUUACAACGACAAUGAAAAUUUGAGGAGAGGAAAGAAAAGAAAAAAUAUAUAUAAGUUUGUGUUGAUGUUUAGGCCCAAGAAUGUGUGUGUGUGUGUGUGUGUGUGUGUGUGUGUGUGUGUGUGUGUGUGUGUACAGACAGACGGACAGACAGACGCCCCGCCCAUCCCUUCCUUUUUGUAAGCAGUGAUCAUGUUAUCGAAAGAAAAAAAAGUGAAAUAAACAGGGAAAGUACA